rnacentral:rRNA from 1 species
AUUGAACGCUGGCGGCAGGCCUAACACAUGCAAGUCGAGCGAGCGUCGGACGGGUGAGUAAUGUAUGGGGACUGCCCGAUAUAGGGGGAUAACUACUCGAAACGGUAGCUAAUACCGCAUACUAUCUCAUAACCCAUAUGGGAUUGGCUAGUGGGUGAGGUAAUGGCUCACCUAGGCUACGCUCCCUAGCUGGUCUGAGAGGAUGAUCAGCCGCACUGGGACUGAGACACGGGCCAGACUCCGACGGAGGCAGCAGUGGGGAAUAUUGCACAAUGGGCGCAAGCCUGAUGCAGCCAUGCCGCGGGGAUGAAGAAGGACUUAGGGUUGUAAAGUACUUUCAGUGGGGAGGCGUUACCGACAGAAGAAGCACCGGCUAACUCCGUGCCAGCAGCCGCGGUAAUAC